rnacentral:tmRNA from 1 species
GGGUCCGUAAAGGUUUCGACGGGGAUUUUCAAGCAGGAUCAGCGUGGCGUGCCGAGCAAUCACGAUAAAGGCUCACCUUAAAAUUAAACGCUAACGAUAACGUAGCACUGGCUGCCUAACGGCAGUGCCGCGGCGUUUUCACGCCGCCCGUCUCCUUGCGGAGGACCACGGCCGCAAAGGAGGCGUCAUGCAGUGGUGAACAUGAACCGGGGGUUCGCGGUUGGACCGGUCAUGCAUAAAAGCGCUACCUGCGGGCGGAGGCUGUCUGUGGCCACCGCACAAAGGGAAUUUUAAAUUACAGACUGCCCACGGAGAAGGUCCUGCCGCGAGAUUUUCGGACAGGGGUUCGAUUCCCCUCGGAUCCACCA